GCGGGCUGCAGUCGGGGAGUCAGAGCCACGCUGGUGGGCAGAGAAGAGAUGCCCAAGGAGGAGGCGGUUGGCUUUGUCUGGGUGCCCAAGCCCAGACCCAGAUAUCCAGGCCUCUGCUCCCUUCCCUGAAAGGGUGCUGUGCUUCAUAAAAAAUGAGAUUAGAAAACGAGAGAGGAAAAUAUUUUUAAUGGAAUCAGGGAAUGUGAAAAGCGGUACAUGCGAAGAGGAAAAGAUACUGCAGUCCUGGAGUUCGACCUCUGCAGAGGACAUCUGGAAUGCUCUGGUCCAACACGAAAAAGAAGAAAUAAGCGAUGAAGCCAGGCACCCAGUCAGUGGCAGAACCGACAUUAGAGCCCAGGCCUCUUCGUAAUCAGUCGUCUUCACCCCCUUUCCAAGGAGAGAGGUGCUUAGAGGCCUAGACCAGGCCCUACAGCUUUGGAGCCAGGGCACCAGAACCGCUACUACCCUCACCUUCUCUGUGCCAGACUUGGAGUUGAAAAAGGUAGCAACCUGGAAAUGCCAACAGGAGUAGUCGAAAAAGCCCAACCAAAGCCUGCUGUCUUUAGCCAAAGAACCAUGGAAGAGGCAGCCUAGCAAGAUAGAGAAGUUUUAAACAUCACUAUGGAUUGCAUUGUGUCUCCCCAAAAUUCAUGUCGAAGCCUUAACUCCCAGUGUAAUUGUAUUUGGAGAUGGGGCCUUUGGGAGAUAAUUAGGGUUAGAUGAAGUAAUGAGAAUAAGGCCCUCAUGAUGGAAUCAGCAGCUUUAUAAGAAGAAUGAUGGGGUUGGGUGCAGUGGCUCACAUCUGUAAUCCCAGCGCUUUGGAAGGCCGAGGUGGGAAGAUCACUUGAGGUCAGGAGUUCAAGACCAGCCUGGCCAACAUGGUGAGACCCCGUCUCUACCAGAAAAUACAAAAAUUAGCCGGGCAUGGUGGUGCACGUCUGUAAUCCCAGCUACUCGUUGGGAUGAGGUUGAGGCAUGAGAAUCGCUUGAACACAGGAGGUGAAGGUUACAGUGAGCCAAGAUUGUGGCCUGCUGCACUCCAGCCUGGGAGACAGAAUGAGACCCUAUCAAGAAAAAAAAAAAAAGAGGAGUGGAGAGAGAUCAUUCUCUCUGCCAUGUGAAGACACAGUAAGAAGCUGAUCAUCUGCAACCCAGAAAGAGAGCCCUUGCCAGGAACCAAAUUGGUUAGCAUCUUGACCUUAGACUCCCUAACUUCCAAAACUGAGAAACAUAAAUGUCUGUUGUUGAAGCCACCAGUCUAUAUUUUGUUGUAGCAGCCUGAGAAGACUAAUACAGACAAUAACUGCUCUACUCAGCCAAACACCACAGCAAACGCUUUGGCCCCCACCCAUGCCAACAAAGGCUGAGUGGGGAGCCUACGAUUCCACCCUUAUGAGGCUAUAAUGCGGCACCUCACCCACCAGGGUUGUGUCAGAGAAGGCCAAGUAGAGAGUCAAUAAUAAGUCCACUCUCCACCUGGCCCCCAUGGUAUCAGUGGAGACCAUGUGGGAAGCCUACACUUGCACCCCCAAAAGGCAGUAAUGAAGUGCUCCUCUUCAUUCCUGCUCAGUGGUAUCAGAGUAGGACUAGCGGAGAGUCUAGACUUUUACCAUCAUCCAAUGGUAAUAAGGCAACCCCCAUCUCAGUGUCAGUGGAGACCACCUGGGGAGCCAGAAUGCCAACAUCUGCCCAGCCAUAAUGAGAAGUGUAACUAAGAUGCCAACAGAGGCUGAGUGAACCUAGUCUUCUACCUGCACCUGUCAGUAAUGGGUUGGUGUCUUUCCUCCUCUGCUGGAGUAAUGUCAAAAAAAGCCAGCUAAAAUAAAGAGUUAACGUAAAAUUAA
rnacentral:lncRNA from 1 species